GACGAACGCUGGCGGCGUGCCUAAUACAUGCAAGUCGAACGCAGUGGGGACGGGUGAGUAACACGUGGGUAACCUCCCAUCAGAGGGGAUAACACUUGGAAACAGGUGCUAAACCGAUACUGAUGGAUGGACCCGCGGUGCAUUCGCUAUUUGGUGAGGUAACGGCUCACCAAGGCCACGAUGCAUAGCCGCCCUGAGAGCGUGAUCGGCCCCACUGUGACUGAGACACGGCCCAGACUCCUACGGGAGGCAUCAGUAGGGAAUCUUCUGCCAUGGAUGAACGUUUUACCGAGCAACGCAGCGGGAGUGAAGAAGGUUUUCGGAUGGUAAAACUCUUUCGGCAGAGAAGCUGUAUCUAACCAGAAAGCCACGGCUAACUACGUGCCAGCAGCCGCGGUAAUAC
rnacentral:rRNA from 1 species